rnacentral:lncRNA from 1 species
AAUGACAUUGGAAAGGCGGUUGGUGAGGCAGCCAAAUGCCAAGCUAUUUUGAUGGAUUAAUCCCUAUUUGUGGUCCCAAACUCCUUUUUUCCACAAGAAGGACGUCUGUUGGGCAAUUUCUGAGGUUUGGUCGAAUUAUUCUUGCCCUCAAAAUGCUACAUAAAUUUUAUAUUUUUUUCAUUAAGCCCUUUCCAUCUCCACAAGGCGAGGGAGCCAAG